AGUGAACGCUGGCGGCAGGCCUAACACAUGCAAGUCGAGCGGAUGAAGGGAGCUUGCUCCUGGAUUCAGCGGCGGACGGGUGAGUAAUGCCUAGGAAUCUGCCUGGUAGUUUGGGAUAACGUCCGGAAACGGGCGCUAAUACCGCAUACGCCCUGAGGGAGAAAGUGGGGGAUCUUCGGACCUCACGCUAUCAGAUGAGCCUAGGUCGGAUUAGCUAGUUGGUGGGGUAAAGGCCUACCAAGGCGACGAUCCGUAACUGGUCUGAGAGGAUGAUCAGUCACACUGGAACUGAGACACGGUCCAGACUCCUACGGGAGGCAGCAGUGGGGAAUAUUGGACAAUGGGCGAAAGCCUGAUCCAGCCAUGCCGCGUGUGUGAAGAAGGUCUUCGGAUUGUAAAGCACUUUUAGUUGGGAGGAAGGGCAGUAAGUUAAUACCUUGCUGUUUUGACGUUACCAAAAGAAUAAGCACCGGCUAACUUCGUG
rnacentral:rRNA from 1 species